UACGUAGGGUGCAAGCGUUAUCCGGAAUUAUUGGGCGUAAAGAGCUCGUAGGCGGUUUGUCGCGUCUGCUGUGAAAACCCGAGGCUCAACCUCGGGCCUGCAGUGGGUACGGGCAGACUAGAGUGUGGUAGGGGGAGACUGGAAUUCCUGGUGUAGCGGUGGAAUGCGCAGAUAUCAGGAGGAACACCAAUGGCGAAGGCAGAUCUCUGGGCCGUAA
rnacentral:rRNA from 1 species